CGCGCCCCGCGCGGCGGCCUUGAAUUGUUUAGCUAAACGGCCCUAAACCGUUUCCCAUUCAUUCUCAAUGGUAGUGCUAAACCACUACGGAUGUAAUAUACUUUCGGCCGCUAGCGCUCUCGUGGCGCUCUUCCGGUUUUCGGCACCGCGGGAAGUUUGAAUUCACAGAAGAAGGAGAAGAAGAAAACACACAACAGCGAUCGGCUCCGUUGUUAAAUUUAACGCAUUCUCAAGCGUCUAUCAAAGAGAGCACUGCUUCUUCACUGAUUGUGUCUUUGCUGUCAUCUUUUCCUGGGACCCGAGCAGAUCUUCAGUCAGAGACAGGAGCUACAUGUAUGUCACCUCUGCAUGUGCUGGCCGUACCUGACCUGUGAAGACUGCUGACAGGGUGUUUGUACUGGACAGCGAACGCUGAGCCUAUCGACAACGUGCUUAAUAAACACCACAGGAAGACAUCCUAACAGCACGCUCCAUAUGACCACAAAACUACACGUCACAUUAUGUCAAGCACCUGACCACACUGCUGAACACCAGUUCUUCAUUAAACACGACUGCAGAGAAGUAAACACCAGGAUGUCAUUCCAAGACUUUAUGGAAAUGGAGCACUUUAGACUGAACUGAAGGACACAAAGAAACGGGACUGCAAAAACACGAAAGGCCUGGAGAUGAACACGUUGUUCACUU